AAUUCAGCACAACUAUCUUAUGACUACCAGCCAAUACGUUAUCCUGCAUACUUAGAUCAUAUAUCAUAGCAAUGCCUUUAUUUGACCGUUAAUAACAAUAUAUCUGCAAAAGCUGUUUCUUAACGUCUCAGUUAAGUUUGAAUAUGACGUGUAAACACCAUAUCACAUGAUAGGAUCACGUGAGUUUUCAAAUCGAUCUGGUAACCACUACGGUAGAUAGCUGUUUCGAUUCUUGUCAGGUUCACGCUGGCUCGACGAACUAGCUAGCUACAGAGUUUACAAUCACCAAUCUAGCCAGAGUUAGACUUUUACAACAAAUUGGGGCGGGAGAGAUUUUCAUAACUUCGAUGCAACCAAUAUAGUUUUUACAUUGUGCUAGUCCAGCACAAUGUAAACUGCAUCGAAUCUAGGUCAUUUGCAUAUUUUCAGGGGUGCUGAGUUCUAAAUCGAAUGUGCUGCUUGUGCUGAGGAAGGAGAGGUGGAAGAGCAGCAUAGACCUCUAUGCAAAUGUUUCAAAAACCUGAGCCCUAGGACCAUACGUCAGGACUACCGGGCAUGCUGACACCUUGCUGUCCCCAGUCCGCCCGGCCUUGCUGCUAUUCCAGUUUCAACUGUUUCUGCCUGCGGUUACGAAACCCCUACCUGUCCCAGACCUGCUGUUUUCAACUCUUAAUGAUCGGCUAAGAAAAGCCAACUGAGAUUUAUUCCUGAUUAUUAUUUGACCAUGCUUGUCAUUUAUGAACAUUUUGAAAAUCUUGGCUCUCUCUAAUUUUCUCCUUCUCUCUUUCU